rnacentral:rRNA from 1 species
AACGGCUCCCAUCUAAGGAAGGCAGCAGGCGCGUAAAUUACCCACUCCCAGCCCGGGGAGGUAGUGACGAAAAAUAACAAUACAGGACUCAUAUUAGAGGCCCUGUAAUUGGAAUGAGUACACUUUAAAUCCUUUAACAAGGACCUAUUGGAGGGCAAGUCUGGUGCCAGCAGCCGCGGUAACUCCAGCUCCAAUAGCGUAUAUUAAAGUUGUUGCGGUUAAAACGUUCGUAGUUGAACUUGUGCUUCAUACGGGUUGCACAACUAUAAUUGUAGUUUGUGUUUUACCUUAUGUAUGUAAGCGUAUUACCGGUGGAGUUCUUAUAUGUGUUAAGUACUUGUAUUUUUCACAUAUUCCUCCUAUUUAAACCUGCUUCAGUGCUCUUCAUCGAGUGUUGUUGUGGGCCGGUACAAUUACUUUGAACAAAUUAGAGUGCUUAAAGCAGGCUCCAAAUGCCUGAAUAUUUUGUGCAUGGAAUAAUGAAAUAAGACCUCUGUUCUACUUUCAUUGGUUUUUAGAUCAAGAGGUAAUGAUUAAUAGAAGCAGUUUGGGGGCAUUAGUAUUACGACGCGAGAGGUGAAAUUCUUGGACCGUCGUAAGACUAACUUAAGCGAAAGCAUUUUGCCAAAGAUGUUUUCAUUAAUCAAGAACGAAAGUUUAGAGGUUCGAAGGCGAUCAGAUACCGCCCUAGUUCUAACCAUAAACGAUGCCAGCCUAGCA